rnacentral:rRNA from 1 species
AGCAGCCGCGGUAAUUCCAGCUCCAAUAGCGUAUAUUAAAGUUGUUGCAGUUAAAAGCUCGUAGUUGAAUUUCGGGAUCAAUAUGUUGGUCGUGCCUUGGUACGUACUGGCAUUAUCGAUUCCUACCUCCUGAAGAACCUCGAUGUCAUUAAUUUGGUGUCUUGGGGAAUCAGGACUGUUACUUUGAAAAAUUAGAGUGUUUAAAGCAGGCUCGCGCUUGAAUACAUUAGCAUGGAAUAAUGAAAUAGGACGUUUGAUUCUAUUUUGUUGGUUUCUAGGAUCGACGUAAUGAUUAAUAGGGAUAGUUGGGGGCAUUAGUAUUCAAUUGUCAGAGGUGAAAUUCUUGGAUUUAUUGAAGACUAACUACUGCGAAAGCAUUUGCCAAGGAUGUUUUCAUUAAUCAAGAACGAAAGCUAGGGGAUCGAAGACGAUCAGAUACCGUCGUAGUCUUAACCAUAAACUAUGCCGACUAGGGAUCGGAUGAUGUAAUUUUUAAUGA